GCUCAGGAUGAACGCUAGCUACAGGCUUAACACAUGCAAGUCGAGGGGUAGCAGGGUAGCAAUACCGCUGACGACCGGCGCACGGGUGAGUAACACGUACCCAACCUUCCCAUAACUCAGGGAUAGCCUUUCGAAAGAAAGAUUAAUACCUGAUGGUACCUUUUCUGGGCAUCCAGUUUAGGUUAAAGAUUUAUCGGUUAUGGAUGGGGAUGCGUUCCAUUAGAUUGUUGGUGAGGUAACGGCUCACCAAGUCUUCGAUGGAUAGGGGCUCUGAGAGGAAGGUCCCCCACAUUGGUACUGAGACACGGACCGAACUCCUACGGGAGGCAGCAGUGAGGAAUAUUGGUCAAUGGGCGAGAGCCUGAACCAGCCAA
rnacentral:rRNA from 1 species